CUUUCCUUUGCUGUGGUUAUGGCCCUGAGUCCUUAAAUUAUAGGCUCUCCUGCAGUUUCAAAAAGCUAAUUCACACUACUGUGUGCAUUAGAAAGGUGGUAUAUAUGAUAUUCCACUAAGGGAAACCCUAGGAACAUUAAACUCCUACUAGUAACUGGUCACGAGUCAGGGCUAGAACUGACACUAGUCAUUUUUCUUCACUGACAAGUUUUCAUUAUGUGGCUUUCCCAGAACAAUUUAGAAAUUGAUCUGCAACUGAUGGAAGCUGGGAUGAAUUGGGCGCAUAAGUGAACCCAAAGCAUCAGAGCAAAGUCAAAGCGAACAUCUGGCUCCAGCUUUGAGUACAAGGAGAGAUUUGUGUAUGAUUGAGAGCAAGGAAAAAAGGCUUUGAAGGGGAAUUCAAAUAUUGAAGACACAAGAGAAAAAAUAAAUAAUAAAAUACUGUGAUCUCUUUGAAAUUGAGAAUGAAGUGAAAUGAAAGAAAUAUAAAAAGCUAGUUUGGCCCUGUAGGAAAGAUGAUCUGUUCUUCCUCUGACACAGAAAGGAAGGAAGAAAGAACAUGCUGGAAGCAGAGCAAAGAAGAGAGACUUGUGUUUCCAUGGAAUAAUCUUGGGAUCCAUGUGGAGUGCAAGAGAUUGGAACAGAAGGAGUUCUCAAAAAAUAAAAACUUCGGGCGGGUGCGGUGGCUCACGCCUGUAAUCCCAGGACUUUGGGAGGCCGAGGUGGGCGGAUCACGAGGUCAGGAGAUCGAGACCAUCCUGGCUAACAUGGUGAAACCCCAUCUCUACUAAAAAUACAAAAAAAAAAAAAAAAAAAAAUAGCUGGGCGUGGUGGCAGGUGCCUGUAGUUCCAGCUACUUGGGAGGCUGAGGCAGGAGAAUGGCGUGAACAUGGGAGGUGGAGCUUGCAGUGAGCCUAGAUUGCGCCACUGCACUCCAGCCUGGACGACAGAGUGAGACUCCAUCUCAAAAAAUAAAUAAAUAAAUAAAUAAAUAAAUAAAUAAUAAAAAAUUCUUGUUUGCUCUA
rnacentral:lncRNA from 1 species